AUUGAACGCUGGCGGCAGGCCUAACACAUGCAAGUCGAGCGAGCGGCGGACGGGUGAGUAAUGUAUGGGGACUGCCCGAUAGAGGGGGAUAACUACUGGAAACGGUGGCUAAUACCGCAUACUAUCGGAUAACCCAUAUGGGAUUAGCUAGUAGGUGGGGUAAAGGCUCACCUAGGCGACGAUCUCUAGCUGGUCUGAGAGGAUGAUCAGCCAAACGGGGACGUGGACACGGCCCCGACUCCUACGGAGGCAGGAGGGGGGAAUAUUGCACAAUGGGCGCAAGCCUUAUGCAGCCAUGCCGCGUGUAUGGAGAAGGCCUUAGGGUUUGAAAGUACUUUCAGCGGGGAGGCGUUACCCGCAAGAGAAGCACCGGCUAACUCCGUGGCAGCAGCCGCGGUAAUUC
rnacentral:rRNA from 1 species